UACGGAAGGUGCAAGCGUUGUUCGGAUUGACUGGGCGUAAAGCGCACGUAGGCUGGUUUGCAAGUCGAAUGUGAAAGCCCCGGGCUUAACCUGGGAACUGCAUUCGAAACUGUGAGCCUUGAAUGUUUGAGAGGUUGGUAGAAUUCUAGGUGUAGAAGUGAAAUUCGUAGAGAUCUAGAGGAAUACCGGAGGCGAAGGCGGCCAACUGGCAAAACAUUGACGCUGAGGUGCGAAAGCGUGGGGAGCAAAC
rnacentral:rRNA from 1 species